UUGCUAGAAACGCUGCUUGGGACGGGGUUGGUUCUGGGUGUCAGGCUUGUUUUGGGACCAGGCAGGCAGUGACUCUGUAGAAAGGGCUGGUCUAGACAGCCCCAGUCCGGGCAGGUGCUUUGGGUAGGGGUUAGCUGUUGUCCUUGUACGGUGCCGCAGAAUCCACUGUGUUCUGGAUGUGAAUUGGGCAAGCAGUUCUCUUCCCUGGCUGUGACAAGAAGAUAGCAACAUUCUUGGGAGCGUUCUGGAAAGGUUUGACAGCUUCUCUUGCAGCUAGGAAUGAAUGACCCGUGAGCCGCGCAGGAACUGUAGGAGGGGGCUGCCGGACGUCUCUUCAGGACUCAGCUGCAAGGCACAUGUUCUUGAUUUCCACGUUCUGCCUGGCAUUCAGACGUGAUGGUUAAAGCAGCAAAGGCCAUCUUGAACCCGGAGCUGACCCUUCAAACCCAAAAGACAAAGGCGCCUGAGUCCUGGAGGUGGUGGAGGAGCCACACGGGU